rnacentral:rRNA from 1 species
GAUGAACGCUGGCGGCAUGCCUAACACAUGCAAGUCGAUCGGUAAGGCUCUUCGGAGUACCCGAGAGGCGGACGGCUGAGUAACGCGUAGGAACACACCCUGCAGUGAGGGAUAAGACACCGAAAGGUGUUCUAAUACCGCAUACGGUCUUCGGAUUAAAGCAUUAUGCGCUGAAGGAGUGGCCUGCGUCAUAUUAGAUAGUUGGUGAGGUAAUGGCUCACCAAGUCGAUGAUGUGUAGCUGGUCUGAGAGGAUGAUCAGCCAGACUGGAACUGAGACACGGUCCAGACUCCUACGGGAGGCAGCAGUGAGGAAUAUUUCACAAUGAGCGAAAGCUUGAUGGAGCAAUGCCGCGUGCAGGAUGAAGGCCCUCGGGUUGUAAACUGCUUUUAUAAGAGAAGAUUAUGACGGUAACUUAUGAAUAAGGGACGGCUAACUACGUG